rnacentral:rRNA from 1 species
UACGAAGGGGGCUAGCGUUGCUCGGAAUUACUGGGCGUAAAGGGCGCGUAGGCGGCACUGUUAGUCAGGCGUGAAAUCCCCAGGCUCAACUUGGGAACUGCAUCCGAUACUGGAUGGCUUGAAUUCGGGAGAGGGAUGCAGAAUUCCAGGUGUAGCGGUGAAAUGCGUAGAUAUCGUUUGGAACGCCAAUGGUGAAAACAGGUAACUGGGAGUGUGCCGACGCUGAGACACGAAAGCCAGGGGAGCGAACGGG